UACGUAGGGAGCAAGCAUUAUCCGGAUUUAUUGGGCGUAAAGUGUGCGUAGGUUUUUCUUCAAGUCUUCAUUUAAAUUUCGGGGCUUACCCUCGAGUCUGGUGGAGAUACUGGAGAAAUAGAGGAUUGAUAGGGAUGCUAGAACAGUUAGUGUAGCAGUGAAAUGCGUUGAUAUUAACUGGAAUACCAAAGGCGAAGGCAGGCAUCUGGGUUUUUCCUGACACUGAGGCACGAAAGCUAGGGUAGCGAAA
rnacentral:rRNA from 1 species